UACAGAGGUCCCGAGCGUUGUUCGGAUUCACUGGGCGUAAAGGGUGCGUAGGCGGUCGGAUAAGUUUGAUGUGAAAUCUCCGGGCUUAACCCGGAAACUGCAUUGAAUACUAUUCGGCUUGAGGUCUGGAGGGGGGACUGGAAUUCUCGGUGUAGCAGUGAAAUGCGUAGAUAUCGGGAGGAACACCAGUGGCGAAGGCGGCGACCUGGACAGAUAUUGACGCUGAGGUGCGAAAGCGUGGGGAGCAAACAGG
rnacentral:rRNA from 1 species